ACUCACCAGGUCAGGACACGGUAAGGAUUGACCGGACUGAAGGCUCCUUUUCUCGAUUCCGUGAAAGUGGUGCAUGGCCGUUUUUGGUUGGUGGAUCGAUCCGUCUGGUUAAUUCCGUUUAACGAACGAGACCUCGGCACUCCGAAUAGCGCGGCGGACGUCGCGGCCUCCGGGCCGUCUUCCGCACGAGCUUCUUAGAGGGACCGUCCCCCGCCGGGGAAGGAGGUGCGAGGCAACGACAGGUCUGUGAUGCCCUUAGAUGUUCUGGGCCGCACGCGCAUUACACUGACGCGUCCAACGGGUGACUCCCGACCCGAAGGGGCCGGGGAAUCCGCAAGGCGCGUCGUGAUGGGGAUUGAACGUUGCAAUUGUUGUUCACGAACGAGGAAUUCCUAGUAGGCGCGGGUCAUCAACCCGCGCCGAUUACGUCCCUACCC
rnacentral:rRNA from 1 species